AAUUGGUCGGGAGCUGAUACCGCUCUCUUGAUGAGUCUAUGGCAAGCUGAAACCAGUU
rnacentral:hammerhead_ribozyme from 15 species